CAAGUCGAACGGGACAUUGUGAGUAGCAAUACAAGCAGUGUCUAGUGGCGAACGGGUGCGUAACACGUGGAUACAUUCCGGGAAGCGGGGGAUAGCCCAGGGAAACUUGGAUUAAUACCGCAUGUGGUCGAAAGACUAAAGGCAGGGACCGCAAGGCCUGCCACUUCCCGAUUGGUCCGCGGCCUAUCAGCUAGUUGGCGGGGUAAAAGCCCACCAAGGCUACGACGGGUAGCUGGUCUUAGAGGACGACCAGCCACACUGGAACUGAGACACGGUCCAGACACCUACGGGUGGCAGCAGUCGAGAAUCUUUCACAAUGGGGGCAACCCUGAUGGAGCGACGCCGCGUGGAGGAUAAGGUCUUCGGAUUGUAAACUCCUGUCAUGUGUGAACAAGGUUGCGGUGUUAAUAGCAUCGCAAAUUGAUGGUAACACAAGAGGAAGAGACGGCUAACUCUGUGCCAGCAGCCGCGGUAAUACAGAGGUCUCAAGCGUUGUUCGGAAUCACUGGGCGUAAAGGGUGCGUAGGUGGCGUGGAAAGUCAGAUGUGAAAGCCCGGGGCUCAACCUCGGAAUAGCAUCCGAUACUACCAUGCUAGAGUACUGAAGAGGUGACUAGAAUUCUCGGUGUAGCAGUGAAAUGCGUAGAUAUCGAGAGGAAUACCAACGGCGAAGGCAGGUCACUGGGCAGUUACUGACACUGAGGCACGAAGGCCAGGGGAGCAAACGGGAUUAGAUACCCCGGUAGUCCUGGCAGUAAACGGUGCACGUUUGGUGUGGGCGCAAUCGACCGCGUCCGCGCCGGAGCUAACGCGUUAAACGUGCCGCCUGGGAAGUACGGUCGCAAGAUUAAAACUCAAAGAAAUUGACGG
rnacentral:rRNA from 1 species